rnacentral:rRNA from 1 species
GACGAACGCUGGCGGCGUGCUUAACACAUGCAAGUCGAACGAAGUGGCGAACGGGUGAGUAACGGGUAAUCAACCUGCCCUUCUGAGGGGGACAACAGGUGGAAACGACUGCUAAUACCGCAUACGGAAGGAGGGGAUUGCGUCUGAUUAGCUAGGUGGAGGGGUAACGGCCCACCAAGGCGAGGAUCAGUAGCCGGUCCGGGAGGAUGAACGGCCACACUGGGACUGGGACAAGGGCCAGACUCCCACGGGAGGGCGCAGUGGGGAAAUUUCCGACAUGGACGAAAGGCUGAAGGGGCAACGCCGCGGGAGGGAUGACGGCCUUCGGGUUGUAAAGAUCUGUUAAUCGGGACGCGGUACCGGAAUAGAAAGCCACGGCUAACUACGUGCCAGCCGCCGCGGUAAUUC